rnacentral:rRNA from 1 species
GGAUGUGAUCAUACCAGCACUAAAGCACCGGAUCCCAUCAGAACUCCGAAGUUAAGAGUGCUUGGGCGAGAGUAGUACUAGGAUGGGUGACCUCUUGGGAAGUCCUCGUGUUGCAUUCC